GAUGAACGCUGACAGAAUGCUUAACACAUGCAAGUCGACUCGAGUCUUCGGACUUGGGUGGCGCACGGGUGAGUAACGCGUAAAGAACUUGCCUCUUAGACCGGGACAACAUCUGGAAACGGAUGCUAAUACCGGAUAUUAUGGUUUUUUCGCAUGGAGGAAUCAUGAAAGCUGGAUGCGCUAAGAGAGAGCUUUGCGUCCCAUUAGCUAGUUGGUGAGGUAACGGCCCACCAAGGCAAUGAUGGGUAGCCGGCCUGAGAGGGUGAACGGCCACAAGGGGACUGAGACACGGCCCUUACUCCUACGGGAGGCAGCAGUGGGGAAUAUUGGACAAUGGACCACAAGUCUGAUCCAGCAAUUCUGUGUGCACGAUGACGUUUUUCGGAAUGUAAAGUGCUUUCAGUCGGGAAGAAGUCAGUGACGGUACCGACAGAAGAAGCGACGGCUAAAUACGUGCCAGCAGCCGCGGUAAUACGUAUGUCGCAAGCGUUAUCCGGAUUUAUUGGGCGUAAAGCGCGUCUAGGCGGCAAGGAAAGUCUGAUGUGAAAAUGUGGAGCUCAACUCCGUAUGGCGUUGGAAACUGCCUUACUAGAGUACUGGAGAGGUAGGCGGAACUACAAGUGUAGAGGUGAAAUUCGUAGAUAUUUGUAGGAAUGCCGAUGGGGAAGCCAGCCUACUGGACAGAUACUGACGCUAAAGCGCGAAAGCGUGGGUAGCAAACAGG
rnacentral:rRNA from 1 species